rnacentral:snRNA from 1 species
GUGCUCAUUUUGGCAGCACAUAUAUUAAAUUGAAACAAUACAGAGAAGAUUAGUAUGGCCCCUGCACAAGGAUGACACACAAAUUCAUGAAGCAUUCCAUAUUUUU